CGAUGUGCGCUCGACGAGGAAAAAUCCGGAAUGGGGAGUUUGGCUGGGGCGGCACAUCUGUUAAAUGAUAACACAGGUGUCCUAAGGUGAGCUCAAUGAGAACAGAAAUCUCAUGUAGAACAAAAGGGUAAAAGCUCACUUGAUUUUGAUUUUCAGUAUGAAUACAAACCGUGAAAGCGUGGCCUAUCGAUCCUUUAGUUCUUUUGAAUUUUAAGCUAGAGGUGUCAGAAAAGUUACCACAGGGAUAACUGGCUUGUGGCAGCCAAGCGUCCAUAGCGACGUUGCUUUUUGAUUCUUCGAUGUCGGCUCUUCCUAUCAUUGCGAAGUAGA
rfam:Phytophthora nicotianae strain race 0 contig2753, whole genome shotgun sequence.